AAUGUUUUCAAUGAACCAGUUCCAUUCUCUAGCUUCUUUCUUCUUUUCCUUAUGCGAAGAUUCAAAUACCAUGUAAGUCGUAAUUUCCGAACAAGUUUACGUUUACGAUGGUUUAUAUAGAACUUCGAGCUUUGGUGUGAAAGAUUGUGCCUGGGAAAUUAGAACUCAGGAGAAACUGUAAUUUCAGGAGAAAGCUCUGUUAGUGCUAUUAUGCAUAGAAAAAUGGUUCCAAAUCUGGUUUUGAUGAGAAUUGUCGUCUGAGGGGAAAACUCUCGUUUCUUAUCAUGUCGUUUCUAAGAGUAAUAGGAUUUUAGAACUAGUGAGAAGUUGUGUAAUAAUGAUCAAUGUAAUUGUAAUUGAUGAAAUAAAAUUAGAUUAGUUGAAUGUGUUCUU